rnacentral:lncRNA from 1 species
GAGCCUCCAGGAGGGCAGGUACGGGCCCUGUACUUCAGCUGUGCCACCUGGGGGAAAGGAAAUGAUGCCUUCUGAUUGAGAAAACCUGAUGGGUAAAUGAUCAAUAAAUGAGGUGAUAAUCAGAGGACCUCAAAGAGAACUGGGUUAUAACAUCAGGAUUUUUAGCUAAGAAGCUGUGUUGAGCCAGAAGAUGUGAGCCUGCUGUCUCUGGAGGGAUGGAGUGCUGGUGCUACCUUGCUGUUGUGACCUGCUUCUCUUGGGAAGAGUCUGUGAGAUGGAAAUGAAAAACCCUGAAAUUUGGCACUGUGGAGGGAGCCCCAGAAUACCAAAUCUGUGUUUGACGGAUCAGCUAGAGACUGACCUCAAUAGCAACAAUCCUCGUGGUCUGGGCAGCUUUCCAGCUAAUGAGGGUAUUUCAAGAGGAGCUUGUUACAAACGCCAAACAAAAUGGCUUGCGUUGCUGGGACUUGAGAAGUGAUAUCUUUGAGCUCUGACCCUUCCUAACGGAAUCCAGACACUGCAUCUCUCUGCUUCCAUGUAUUUUAUAUGAAGCACCUGACGCAGCAGCAACAAAUAGCAGAGGAAUAAAUUCAACAGCUUGGAACA